rnacentral:rRNA from 1 species
UACGAAGGGGGCGAGCGUUGUUCGGAUUUACUGGGCGUAAAGGGCGCGCAGGCGGCUUAUUUUGUCAGGCGUGAAAGCCCCGGGCUUAACCUGGGAACUGCGUUUGAUACGGAUGGGCUAGAGUUCGGGAGAGGAGAGUGGAAUUCCCAGUGUAGAGGUGAAGUUCGUAGAUAUUGGGAAGAACACCGGUGGCGAAGGCGGCUCUCUGGACCGAUACUGACGCUGAGGCGCGAAAGCGUGGGGAGCAAACAGG